rnacentral:rRNA from 1 species
GACGAACGCUGGCGGCGUGCUUAACACAUGCAAGUCGAACGAUGAAGCUGGAGCUUGCUCCGGUGGAUUAGUGGCGAACGGGUGAGUAACACGUGAGCAAUCUGCCCUUGACUCUGGGAUAACUGCGGGAAACUGUAGCUAAUACCGGAUACGAGGCUUGGAGGCAUCUCCAGGUCUGGAAAGAAUUUCGGUCAAGGAUGAGCUCGCGGCCUAUCAGCUAGUUGGUGAGGUAAUGGCUCACCAAGGCGACGACGGGUAGCCGGCCUGAGAGGGGGACCGGCCACACUGGGACUGAGACACGGCCCAGACUCCUACGGGAGGCAGCGGUGGGGAAUAUUGCACAAUGGGCGAAAGCCUGAUGCAGCAACGCCGCGUGAGGGAUGAAGGCCUUCGGGUUGUAAACCUCUUUUAGUAGGGAAGAAGCGAAAGUGACGGUACCUACAGAAAAAGCACCGGCUAACUACGUGCCAGCCGCCGCCGUAA